rnacentral:tRNA from 1 species
CUUUAGAGAGCUGUAUUUAAGCACUAGUCUUUUAAACUAAUGAAAGCAAACCUUUGCUUCUAAAGA